GGGCCCUUAGCUCAGCCUGGUUAGAGCGCUCGGCUCAUAUCGACCGUCGACUCGUACCGGGUCCGGUCGUGGGACACCGAGUGGUCGAUGGUUCGAAUCCGUCAGGGCCCA
rnacentral:tRNA from 1 species